rnacentral:rRNA from 1 species
CCUACGGGGGGCUGCAGUAAGGAAUAUUGGUCAAUGGACGAAAGUCUGAACCAGCCAUGCCGCGUGAAGGAUGAAGGCCCUCUGGGUUGUAAACUUCUUUUAUAGGGGACGAAAAAAGCUCAUUCUUGAGCACUUGACGGUACCCUAGGAAUAAGCACCGGCUAACUCCGUGCCAGCAGCCGCGGUAAUACGGAGGGUGCAAGCGUUAUCCGGAUUUACUGGGUUUAAAGGUGGCGUAGGUGGGCAGUGAUGAAAUCUCCGGGCUUAACCCGGAAACUGCCAUUGAUACUAUCUGUCUUGAAUAUUCUGGAGGUAAGCGGAAUAUGUCAUGUAGCGGUGAAAUGCUUAGAUAUGACAUAGAACACCAAUUGCGAAGGCAGCUUACUACGGGAUUAUUGACACUGAGGCACGAAAGCGUGGGGAUCAAACAGGAUUAGUACCCCAGUAGUC